CUACCUGUGGUGCAGCUGGAUAACACGUCAGACUCCGACUCUGGAGACCCGCGGUUCGAAUCCGCGCAGGUAGACCA
rnacentral:tRNA from 1 species